rnacentral:snoRNA from 1 species
UGACGAUAAUGAGGGCAAUUUCUGAGCAUACCCUUAAAUUUCUCCCAAGUUUUGCAGAAAUUCUCUCCUUCUUUUUGUCUGAAACUCAGAAUCUCACUUCUCAAACA